UUCACAAGGAGAAUGGGAGGGGCCCUCAGGAGAUUCGCAGGAGGGUGCUGGCUCAUUAGGCACAGGAGGAAUCCCCCUGGAACAGAGGGGCAGUGGCCAGGGAGAGAGCUGCACAGCCUCGGGAAUUGGGAGUAUGAUGAUGGGUGGUUGGGAGAGAUGAGGGCAGAAAUGCGGGGGGGUCAGCCAAGAUUUGCAUUCUCUGGUUGAGCCCCUCCCUGGUCCCACACACAGAAGAGCCCCCAGCAAGCUGCUCACCCCAAGGAAACAAGGAAGUUUCUCUGAAGAAAUCAGGGUGAGCCGGGCUGCCUUAACACUUGGUUGGGGCCUGCGGUGGACCGCUGCUGCUUCUGCCACUCAGCAUCCAUUUUCCCUUGUUCUGGUCAAGGAAUCUGUGCGUGUCCUCUGGGGAGCUAGCCCUCUCUUAUUUUUGGUCCAUGAGGUCAGGCUGUGACCGCCCCCUCUCCUGGCCCUAUGAGGCGACGUGAUGUGCCGUGUGGUUCUUUCCAGUGCAGGCCGAGGACCACAUUCUGAGUGGCUGGGAGACAGCUCGCUCUCCUCCUGUGACCCUGAAGGCUUGAGGCUGAGUGUGGAGCCGUCGCACAUGUGGAGCUGUCCCACGGAACCUGAGACGAGCCACCCCGAUGGGGCAGGACCGAGGGGAACAGAGAAGAAACAGCCACUGGUCCCAAGCCUCCAACUCAAUCAGUCAGCACGUAUUUUUAACCUCUGACCAAUAAUCCUCUGUCUCAUGGGACAGUCAACGCAGUAGUGUCAGCAGCUCAAGACUGGAACAAUUCUUCUGAUUUAUUCACACUCAAUGUAACUUCAGCUGUGUCUGAUUUUCCUGAUUGACACACGGUUUUCUGAAAGGGAUGACGUUGAUUCAUAUAAAUAACCAGUGGUCAAGGGGCCCUGCAACCCUAGUUUAUCUCAAGGCCCGUGACACGUAGCCAUAUUUGUAACGCAGGAGCCUCAGUAUCUGUGCGAAUCAUUGGUUAAUAACAACCAGCGAGCACCUGCCACAUGGGUAGACUGGCCUCAGGGCUGUGAGGAUGCUCACAACAGUGCAGGAGUCUCUCUCUUCUGGGGGUUUCCAGAUCCACAGGGCAGCAGGCGGCCCACCAGCGAGGCUCAGCACGAUGCUGAUGAACUCAACCACACACUUCCUGACUUCAAACUUCCUGCAAAGCUACAGUAAUCAAGACAGUGCGGCAGUGGCAAAAGGACAGAUAUAUGGAUCAAUGGAACAUAACCGAGAGUCCAGAAAUAAACCCACAUAACUAUGGCCA
rnacentral:lncRNA from 1 species